rnacentral:rRNA from 1 species
AGUGAACGCUGGCGGUAGGCCUAACACAUGCAAGUCGAACGGCAGCACAGUAAGAGCUUGCUCUUACGGGUGGCGAGUGGCGGACGGGUGAGGAAUACAUCGGAAUCUACUUUUUCGUGGGGGAUAACGUAGGGAAACUUACGCUAAUACCGCAUACGACCUACGGGUGAAAGCAGGGGAUCUUCGGACCUUGCGCGAUUGAAUGAGCCGAUGUCGGAUUAGCUAGUUGGCGGGGUAAAGGCCCACCAAGGCGACGAUCCGUAGCUGGUCUGAGAGGAUGGUUCGGCACAAUUGAAAUUAAGACCGGUUCCGACUCCCAAGGGAGGCAACCGGUGGGAAUAUUGGACAAUGGGCGCAAGCCUGAUCCAGCCAUACCGCGUGGGUGAAGAAGGCCUUCGGGUUGUAAAGCCCUUUUGUUGGGAAAGAAAAGCAGCAGGUUAAUACCCCGCUGUUCUGACGGUACCCAAAGAAUAAGCACCGGCUAACUUCGUG